AAACUCAUCGCACCUGUUGCAAAGGAAGGAAAGAAGAUAGGAAAUAUCGAUUUGUUAACGUUAAUUAUACUAAAAUUCUGAGAGAGGAGAGACCAAAUAGAGGAACACCAUGCCGGCCGACAAAGAAACUUCACCAACUACUGAGGGCGAAGAGAAAGAAAUGAGCUUAAAAGAAAAACUAGAAUAUUUUGACAGAGAAAUUCGUCUGCUGCAUCAGUUUUGCAUCAACUCCGGGUACAGCAAGCAACAGAUACAGCAGUCAGCAGAGCCGUUUAUACGAGCCACUGAUUCCUUAGCAUGGCGGAAGACGAAGAAAAAAAUGAUUUAUUUUGGAGUCAUUAUAGCUGUUCUGGCAUCUUUGUAUCAUUUUAAUCCAGCCUUCAAGUUAAUUGCUGCCAUAUGCAGGAUCACUGCAAUUAAGUUGAUUCCUGUGUGGGACUGGACAAAGGUUCACCAGUGGGAGUGUAUGGUUGACAACCCUCUCUACGCCGGGCUACAGCUGACGGAGGAGGACUGUGAUAUUUGUAAAGACCUUUUGACUGUGGAGAGAAGAACGGGCCUGAGUGCUAGGGAUUUCACAGAGAAUUAUCUGAAGAUGGAGCUCCCUGUGAUUGUAGAAGAUGGAACUAAGGACUGGCCAAAAGAGAAACUGCAGAUAAAUAUUCAUUCCAUCUACAAGGCUUACAAAGAAAAUAAAGCUCUGUACAAGAACCCAGUAUGUGGCUUCCAUUCAGAUACAAAGUAUGGCGGCCUCCAUGUGUUCUUACACCAAGCCGUCAACUCAAACAUGGAGUCCUACUCAGCAGACUGGGAAAACUGCAUGAAAGACUCAGCAAAGGCAUUCAGAAGUCUGUACCAAAGACCAUACUUCAUGCCUCAGACUGUGGAAAUUUCUGACACAAACUGGAUUUUUGUUUCAAAGGGGUCAUUGGAACACCACUUCGAUGUAAUAGAAAAAAAAGGAAUUUGAUUUUUUAAAGAAAUUAAAAUCUUUGACUACAACUGUGCUUUUGCAGUCUUCUUACAGUGUAAAAAACAACUGUACCAUGUACAUAUACAAUUGGUUUAUUAACCUCCUCCAUAUUGUAUGUAUUUAAUGUAUUGUUAGAUUCCCCUCUCUACACCCUUGUUGAUGCUGAUAGCUAUGAAGGGUCGGUUUGAGAUUGCACUCUCUCCCAAGGACCCCUGCACCAAGUCCUGUGUGGAUGUUCCAGCCGAGUUACAUCAGGGAGAAAUCAUGAUUAUCACAAUGGCUGAUUUACUAUGGCUCAAGUCCUACAGACCAAUGGAAUCAGGAGAAAAUAUUCUAAUAGGAGUUGCAGGAUCAUAUGAAUGAUGUAUUGUCAAUGUGAACUGUUGAAACUGAAAUCCAUGUUCAACCAUACCAAAAUAAAUGUAGUUUUCAUCAUC
rnacentral:misc_RNA from 1 species